AUACAGGGCCUUUUUCUAAUGCUAGAGCUCUUCAGCGGGGCUCUGCGCAUUGAACCAACAUGCUCACUUUCUCUGGCCCUCCCCCUUUUUUGGGGGCCGCUCUAAUUGAAAAAUGCCCGGGCCUAAUUUUUUUCCCAGUCCGGCCCUGGUCUGACCUAUGGUACUUUCUGCACCUACCAUGGUGACCAUGGGCAACGGGGAAUCAGGGUUCGAAUCCGGAGAGGGAGCCUGAGAAAUGGCUACCACAUCCAAAGAAGGCAACAUUCACGCAAAUUACCCACUCCCGACGCGGGGAGGUAGUGAUGAAAAAUAACAAUAAAGGACUCUUUUGAGGCCCUGUA